rnacentral:rRNA from 1 species
GACGAACGCUGGCGGCGUGCUUAACACAUGCAAGUCGAACGGAAAGGCCCUGCUUUUGUUGGGUGCUCGAGUGGCGAACGGGUGUGUAACACGUGAGUAACCUGCCCUUGACUUUGGGAUAACUUCAGGAAACUGGGGCUAAUACCGGCUAGGAGCUGCUGCUGCAUGGUGGGGGUUGGAAAGUAUGGGCGGUUGGGGAUGGACGCGGGGCUUAUCAGCUUGUUGGUGGGGUAGUGGCUUACCAAGGCUUUGACGGUUAGCCGGCCUGAGAGGGUGACCGGCCACAUUGGGACUGAGGUACGGGCCAGACUGCUACGGGAGACAGCAGGGGAAAAUAUUGCAAAAUGGGCGGAAGCCUGAUGCAGCAACGCCGCGUGCGGGAUGACGGCCUUCGGGUUGUAAACCGCUUUCGCCUGUGACGAGGCGUGAGUGACGGUAAUGGGUAAAGAAGCACCGGCUAACUACGUG